GACGAACGCUGGCGGCGUACCUAAUACAUGCAAGUAGAACGCUGAAGAGAGGAGCUUGCUCUUCUUGGAUGAGUUGCGAACGGGUGAGUAACGCGUAGGUAACCUGCCUUGUAGCGGGGGAUAACUAUUGGAAACGAUAGCUAAUAACGCAUAACAAUGGAUGACACAUGUCAUUUAUUUGAAAGGGGCAAUUGCUCCACUACAAGAUGGACCUGCGUUGUAUUAGCUAGUAGGUGAGGUAAUGGCUCACCUAGGCGACGAUACAUAGCCGACCUGAGAGGGUGAUCGGCCACACUGGGACUGAGACACGGCCCAGACUCCUACGGGAGGCAGCAGUAGGGAAUCUUCGGCAAUGGGGGCAACCCUGACCGAGCAACGCCGCGUGAGUGAAGAAGGUUUUCGGAUCGUAAAGCUCUGUUGUAAGUCAAGAACGGGUGUGAGAGUGGAAAGUUCACACUGUGACGGUAGCUUACCAGAAAGGGACGGCUAACUACGUG
rnacentral:rRNA from 1 species